CAGCAGCCGCGGUAAUACAGAGGGUGCGAGCGUUAAUCGGAUUUACUGGGCGUAAAGCGUGCGUAGGCGGCUUUUUAAGUCGGAUGUGAAAUCCAUGAGCUUAACUUAGGAAUUGCAUUCGAUACUGGGAAGCUAGAGUAUGGGAGAGGAUGGUAGAAUUCCAGGUGUAGCGGUGAAAUGCGUAGAGAUCUGGAGGAAUACCGAUGGCGAAGGCAGCCAUCUGGCCUAAUACUGACGCUGAGGUACGAAAGCAUGGGGAGCAAACAGGAUUAGAUACCCCCGUAGUCCCUGUCUCUUAUAC
rnacentral:rRNA from 1 species